AUUGAACGCUGGCGGCGGGCCUAACACAUGCAAGUCGAGCGGAGCGGCGGACGGGUGGGUAAUUCCUAGGAAUCUGCCUGGUCGUGGGGGAUAACGUCCGGAAACGGGAGCUAAUACAGCAUACUAUCAGAUGAGCCUAGGUCGGAUUAGCUAGUUGGGGGGGUAAAGGCACACCAAGGCGACGAUCCGUAACGGGUCUGGGAGGAUGAUCAGCCACACUGGAACUGAGACACGGUCCAGACUCCUACGGGAGGCAGCAGUGGGGAAUAUUGGACAAUGGGCGAAAGCCUGAUCCAGCCAUGCCGCGUGUGUGAAGAAGGUCUUCGGAUUGUAAAGCACUUUAAGUUGGGAGGCGUUACCAACAGAAUAAGCACCGGCUAACUUCGUGCCAGCAGCCGCGGUAAUAC
rnacentral:rRNA from 1 species